GUAAGUCCUUAGGGUGUCACCCCGCGGACGCCGCACCUGAAAGCGGCCCGAUCACCCAGGUGUGACUGCAACCCCCCCCCGCCCCCCAAACAGGCCUGCGCCGGGGCGCGUGAGAGCCCAGUGUGGGAACAUCUUCGUGUGCCCGGGCUUGAUUUACACGCUCCCGACCCAAGGUGCUGGUGCUUUUCACUUCUUAGCAAAGGCCAACCGAAAUUACUUUGGCCCCGACACGUGUUUCAUUUCUAUGACGACUGAGGCACACUACUUCUUCCUUGUCGCCAACUUUUGUGGAUUAUGAUGCCCCCCCCAUAAACUGGGAUUGAUAUGUCGGUUUCUCUCUGUCACUUACUUCACAAACAUACAUUUGGUUGGCAUCCACCUUGUGUUCUAGAAAGAUGGGCUCCUGCCCGAGGACGCGGUGACCCUUUCAAAACAGAGGCCCGGAAUCGGGACGAGCCCAGCUCCACCCCCACCAGCGCCUUCUGGGCUGGGGUGCGGGGCUCUCCGGAGCUAAAGUGUGCGGUUUGGGUGACUUACCAGAUGCAGCAAGGAACAACUGUCACGCUGGAUUAAGCUCUGCGACACCUAAGAAACCUCCACUGCAGUUUUCUGAAGGAGUAGCAGUGUGUUUAAGAUCAACGGAUUAAUUUAAUUAAAGGUUUAAAUUUAGCCCUGGAGCUAAUGGGUAACUCUCCAUCGAAAUUCCACUCCGUUUCAAGUUCAGGAAAGUUAAGUAGUGGAGAGCAAAUACACGCUGUCCGGAGACGCGCAGCCAACCGGAGGAAGAGAUAGGGUGGGUUUCAAGUUACGUGUGCUCAGGACAAACUCUCGGCCUGGCCCUCUGCGCAAACAAUUAUUCCUAUUUUAUUUUUGUGCCUUCCCUCUGCAGCCUCACAGCAGCAGCUAAGUCAAAGCUUGGCACCCAAGUCGGGGAAAUUUCAUCAGGAUUUUAAUUACUUUGACUACCUUGAAACUUCCAAUUCACUCUCUUACAAGUGAUUUAAUUUACAUGGCCACUGGCCUGGCUGUGGGUCAGGGAGCGUUAAGUGGAAGAGUCCCAGUCCACUCCUCUAAAAGAAAGACUUUUAUUACGCGUGGUAUGUUAAUUACAAAAAUGAUACAUUUUAAGAAAAGCAGAGAGCAAAAGCAUCGCUAACGAUUUCCUAUGGAAAUGCCUUAAUAUUUUGAUUUCUGUCUUGCCAGUUUGUGUUUGUUUUAGUACUGGGCCUGGAACGCCGGCCUUUGCGCUAAGCUACAGCCCCAUCCCUCUUUUUUAUUUCUUAUUUUGAGACCUCACUAAGUGGCUAAGUUACCCAAGGCUGGGCUCGAACUUGCAAUCCUCCUGCCUCAGCCUCCCAGAUGUCUUGUGUUUUUUUUAAAUCAAUGCCAUGUCAUGUAAGGCUUUCCAUCCAGAAAGAUUUUUUUUUCCAGUUGGCUUCCUUAUAUUUGCUGGGUGUUAAUUUUUUUUCAUCAAAAUCCAUUUAUUUGCCUACUUGGUAUAACUCUCCCUAUUUUAAGUGCCAAGUAUAGUAGUUCAUUCCAAACAUUUAUUGAAGCAUCAAAUUGGAAUCAAUGUCUAUUAAACUCCAUGCUUCUGCCAAUUUAUGGGGGAUCAUGAGAAUUAAGAUUUAUUAUUCACCUACUGUGUACCAGCCAGAGAGUAUUGCUAAUCCUUCUGACCACCCUAUGGUGAUGAUGGUGAGGGCAUUAUCAUUAAUAUUUCAAAGACAAGGUUCAGAAAAUUUGAAUACUUCUCCCAGGUCACCUAGCUCAUUGUGGCUGCGCCAGCGUGUAGACGGCCUUGACUGAGACUCAUGCGUGUUCUUGCGCCCUCUGCUGGUGAGGAUGUUUUACAGGAAGGAGCAGUGUCCAGCUAUCCUGCGUUUAUCCCUGAGUCAAUUGUAGUGGAAAUAAAUAAAGCUUUGGAGAGAGGAUCUGGGUUUGAACAGCCAGUCCUUUAACCUCUCUGAGCCCAUUUCUUCUGUGGGUUACUGAGAGGUACAGAUAUGGCUGCAUGUGGAGUGUUUUAUAAACCUUUAAGUAUUUUUAAAAUGACAGUUUUUAUGCCAUUCUAAUCUAUUUAGUUCCCAAAUAAUUCUAAAUUCAUUUAUUUUCUGCUAUUAAUUGGUUGAGCAAGUGUUAUUGAGCAACUUCUACAUGUACAGUGCCAUCUUGCGACAAAGAGAUAAUAAGGUGUGACCCUUAACCCUUGUAUGCUUGCUAGUUAAAAUAGAAAAGAAGCGCAGGACACGUUUAGAGAAGAGUACAGUGCUUGCUCUGAUUACGUGUCAGAUAAGCAGUAUGCUAUCAGAAUGUGGGAAAAGAGCUCUUAAUUUGAAGUGAGCCUGUGGGGCAGGUGUUAGGCAAGAGCCAGGAUUUGAGCUGACCUGGGAGGUAAAGGAAGCCGGGAGAAGGAGGUGCGCUGAAGAGGAAGUUGCUAGUUUUGAUCUUCAGUGUCCCCGGGGCCCAUGUAACAGAGGCUUGCUCCUAGGGAGGCCCUGUUGGGAGGUGGUGGAGCCUCUUGGACAGUGAUGGUGAACCUUUUAGAACUUUCAAUGAUAACAAACAGCCUGUUGCAGCACAUGUGCCAUAGUUUGCCACCACUGCUCCAGGAGGUGGUCCCUGGGUGGAGGAAGUUAGGUCAGUGGGGCUGCCCCUGAAGGAAUCUUUGGGACCCCAGUCCUCUCCUUUCUUUGUGCUUUCCGGGUCAUGAGGUAAGUGGUUUUGCUGUACCUCAGGCUCCUACUCACAUGUGUCAGACUCCACACUGUGGGCUCGUUGCCACAAGCUCAAAAGCAACGGGACCAAUUGAUCAUGGACCGACACCUCCAAAACCAUGAGCCUAAAUAAACCCUUUCUCUUUAUAAGCUGAUUAUCCCAGGAAUUUGUUACAAGGACAGAAAACUGAUUAACGCAUAUUGCACCGACACCUUUAUGCAUUGCAGGCACAGAGGACUAACACCUGAAAUGUAAUUCCUCUUGGUCUGCAAAGGCACCCCACUCCCACCUUCUUUUUUAAUUUUUAUUUUUAUUAGUACCUGUUUGCAGUACGUAAUGAUCCCAUUCCUUGUGUGGAGUUGAUACAUGCACAUAACACAUCUCAAUUCGGUUUUCAACCCUUUUCCCUCUCCUCUCUCCCCCCUCCCUCCAUCCCUUGAUCUGCUUCCCUUUUGCAAAAAAAUCUAUCUCCCCAUUUCCUAUUAUCUGUCUUUUAUCUUGCUCUUUAAUUUAUUUCGACUUAGGUUUCUCAUAUAAGAGAAGCUAUGUGAUAUUUGAGCUCGUGCAUGUGAUUUCUGUCAAUUAACAUUAUGGUCUCAAGGUGCAUCCGCUCCCCACCUUCACUUUUAUAUUGCUCUUUUCAAGUUCAGUCUGAAAACGUGUUCUAUAUGCAUGACCACAAAAUGCAUGUAUGAUUUAGAUGAACACAUACCAUACUGGGGGUCAAUAAAAAAUAAAAAGAACCAAAAAUAAAAAAUAAAAAGAACCUUCAAGUAGUGACUGGCUCUUUAAAAAGUAAUAAUUUAGUAAAUCAAGAAGCCUGACAAUUAAUUUAAAGAUGUAGUGACCAUCGUGCAUAACAAAAGCUAUAUGAUAUAAUGGAAAUAAGGCUUUAGACCCAGACCCAGGUUAAAAGUAUGUGACCUUAGAAGGUCCCCAACUUGGGCAGACUAUAAGUGUUGUGCCUUGGUGGUCUCAUCUGUAAAGGUAAGUUGAACAAUAUUUUACCAGGGUGAUUUGUGAGGAUUACGGGUAAUAAUAAUUUAUGUAACCUACAACAGAGGGUCUGGCAUUCACUGCGGAGCUAUUAUGAGAAAAUGCAAAAUAUAGAUGGUGUGCAUAGAAAAGGCCAGGAUGUUCAAGGUUCGAGGUUUUUGGAGUUUUCGCUGAUCCUGCCAAGCAGGCAAGACCAGGAGAAACUCUAGCCAUCAGCUCGGGCUCAGACCGGGUUAUUUUACUGUGUGUUUUAUCCGAGUGCGGGCAGACCGGAAACAGUGUGGUGCCCAACAAGCCUGUUGCUGCCACCCUCAGUCUGCUGAGAGCCUCCAAAGCUAGAGGUGGGACUGCCCCAGAGGCGGUCCUUAAUGCCCCGCCUCUUCUCCUGGGGGAACUUGUGGUCGCGUCUGUGGGCCUGGAAGAAAAGGGAAGGGGAAGGGGGAUGGGAAGGGUCACUGUUUCCUCCUUUACAAUCUGGCACAGUCAAUUUGACUUCCUUCUUUGAUUUUCCCAGAACAUCUAGGAUGAGACACAAAUUCAAAUAAUAUUCAAACUGAGGGAAAUGAGCUGCAGAGACAAGCUCAGCGAGUAUAUACAACACCAUCAGGGGGCUCAUACAGUAUGACUUACCUGUAGCCAUCAUCUCUUAUUUCCUAAAUGCCAAUCUCCUGCCAGUUUCUGUGAGUACCAGGGAAACCAGGUUGUGAUCUUAUUCUGGAGCCCUCAAGCUAAAAGCAGAGGGAGUCAUGCUAAUAUGUGCACUAUAAUGCAGUAAGUAUCUGAAAAAGAAAGGAAGAAAGAAAAGCAAAACUCUGCAGGAGCCCGCAGCCCCAGCAUACCUCCUAGCAUAAGGCUAUUUCUACUUGUCCCUCGGGACCACCUAAGCCACCUCUUCUCCCUACCCAGACAAUGCUGAGGAGACGAGGGUGUUUCCUCCAUUUCCUACCAUGGUUCUGCACCCAGCUCUCCUCUCCCUGCCAGAGGAUCUGCCCUUCUUUUGUGACUCCCAACAACAACCCUUGACACCAUCCAGCAAGAGCUGAAACAGGGCCCUUUGGUCUCCAGGCCCCUGACACUGCAAGGAGAAGAGAAAGAACAACUUUUAUUAUUUUACUCCAAUUCUUGCCAAAGCUGAUGUGGGGCCUUUGGGCUUUUCUAACUUGCAUGAAAAACUGAAAAACUGGCAAUGGGUGUGUCCCUUGGACUGCACGAACAGUGCCAUAAAAAAAAGUGUUCCUGAUUCAUCAAGGGCAAGAAUAGGUUUUGGUAGCUUGUCAAACCGGGGAGAAGAAGGAACAGUGUUGUCAGUGACCCUUUCUCACCUCCACAGUCUUGCUAGAGGAGACGGAGAUGGAGAUGGAGAUGACGGCCCAGAUGCGUUUAGUCCAGAGUUCUCGGGUUCACCUCCAUUCUCCCUGUGGACAAGGAGGGACGGACGGUGACAUCCGUUCCCAAGCGCUCCAGGAGAGGCUCCUGUACAGUGUGCGGGUCCAGGCUUGGCCGUGUGUCUCUUGGCUUGGCCUCGUGUGGCUGUAGUGUCCAGCACAGAGUGGGUUUCUGGGAGUGGGUGCUUGCCUUUUUUUAGGACAAGCUGUAACAGAGAAACAGUAGGAGCCUGGCUUCAUGGCCCCAAUGGCAGGAAGCCUCCAUUUUCUCUACUCACACAGACACUUCUGACACCAAAUACAUGGGGGAAACAAUACAGCCUCCAACUCUCGGGACAUUGACUGCGAGUCCUGCGGCUCAAUGCAGACACUGCCUGCCUGCGAGGGCUCAGUCCCAUGAGACUGUGCGCCACUUCAGGCCUCAGUUGGGAGCCCCUGGUGACCCACUCUUCUGUUCUUGGCUACAAAGCAGGGCCCACGAGCUUCUCCUUUGGUUCAAUAAUUCGCUGUGAUGGAACCCAGGGAAAGAAAGCUUGUUAUCUUGGCUUGGCCUCUCCGGUGACAGUACCCAUCCUGAAACUAUCCAUCAAGAAUGGCCUCAUUAGAACAAAGGAUGCUCUUAUCACCCAGGAAAUCACAAGGCUUUUAGAAACUAUGUGUCAGGAACUGGGGUCAAAGACCAAAUAUUAGGACAGAACAUACUCCUGGCAUCCGUAUCAGUCAGGAAACUGAGGGUUUUAGGAGCUCUGGGCCAGGAACGAGGGGCAGAGACCAAGGAUGUGUUUCUGAGUGUGUCACACCACUCACACCACCGAUGACCUUGGAGGAUCCCUGGAAUACAACUGGUGGGAAAAAUACAUUUCAAAUACUUCCAAAGGAUGAUCGUUCACUCCCAGAGCUAACUGCAGAAUUUAAACAACACCGGCACAAGAAAACCAGUGGAUUUUCUUUCUUGUGUUACCUCUGUACUUAAGUUGUAGCAAACCCUUGGUUUUAUUUUCUUUGAAAUUAUACAGGGACGCAGGAACAAGCAGCUUACAGACAAUAAAGAAACCACUUCAUGUGUAAUUACAGCUCACAAACACACAACUUCCAGAUGGCUGGAGUGCACAGCAGGACUGAAGGCUGCCAGGUGCACCGACAGGCAUGUGGGUCCAGCCCCAAAGCAUCCUUGGGUGGUGUUCGUGCUCCUUCCAGUCAUUCGCAGCAGAGUGGGCGGAUGUGGCCAGAUUCCCUCAGAAACACCUCUAUCUUGCCUGCCACAAGGAGUAAGACAGAGCCAGGGUCCAUUUCUACCCCUGCUGUGGUUUAAACAUGGUUUGUUUCUCCUCUCUGAAAUGCAGGUUGGGAUUUAACCCCCACUGUGAGGAAUUAGAGAGUAGAAACCUAAUCUGACCUUGGUCAGAGGUGGGCUUUGGAAGGUGAUUAGGGUUGGGUAAGGUCAUCAUGCAUAAAGAUGCUGGUGGCUUUCUAAGAAGAGGGAGGGAGGGCGAGGAGACACAGCACACGCCCUGUCUCUCAGGGCCCCGUGAUGCCCUGAGCACCCUCGAGACAGGCAGCAAGAAAGCCACCACCGGAGACAGUGACCUUGGAGUAGGAACAUGAGCUAAAAUAAACUUCUUUAUAAUUUACCCAGUCUGUGUCAUUAUGGUUUGUUGGGGUUUUUUUGGUACCAGGGAUUGAACUUGGGACCUUGCGCUUGUGAGGCAGGCAGUGAAACCACUGAGCUAAAUCCCCAGCCCUAUGGCAUUUUGUUAUUAGCAGCAGAAAAGGGACAAAGACAGCCCCUGUUAUCACCGGUUCAGGGUAUCAAGCUCAUUCCUCUACUUCUCCGGGCUUCAGUUUUGUCAUCUGUGAAAUGGAAAUGAUGUUAUCUCCUGAGGAGCAUUAUUAGGAGAAUUCACUGCAGACAUCUAAAAAAAAUGCUUAGAACAUGACAUAAUGCACAACAAAUCACUGGCUAAUAUUGCCCUGGCAUGUGCAUAAAGGAUUGAAGAGAGAGUCUGAAGGAAUACAUUUGCUCAUUCGACAUUCAUUGAACUCCUGCUGUACAUUGUACUCUGCUGGGCAAGAAGGGUAGAUUGUCUCUGCUGCUCUGGUCCCUGGGGCAAGAAGUGUGGCCCUGGGCAGAGGGUCACCCUGAUAAUUUACAGAGACUGGGCCCUCUAGGCUUCCAUGUCAAAUGUAUAAUAAAGGAAGGCUUGACGAAGCUUUUGUGAAUGGGCCAGACCUGACAGCUGCCGGGCGGGACCUCCUUCUGCAUGGGAGUAGGCAGUUACUGGAAAAGGAUAUGUGGACCAGAGCCAAACACUAAGACUGCAGGCACUCUCUUGACUUCUCCACAUAGUUUCCCCACUUGCAAAAUGGAGAAGGCUUGCAGGUGAUUACUGCAAUGAUUAAAGAAGGUAAAAAGUGUCAAUAAUACUGACUUCCCUCCAAGCCCCCCAAGGACAGAGCAGAAAACACUAACAGCCAGUGGGAUCUCUCCGUGAAGAUUGAGGCAGGACACUUCCAGGCCUUCUUUUUAGCUGACAAGUGAAUGAGCUGUGGGAAUUUGGCAUGUGAUGAAACUGACUUCUCCAUUCAGUACAGAAACCGUGGAUUCUUCACUCAAAGGUGUUGGGACAACUCGCUGCCAGCGGAGGGAGGGGAAUCCCUAACAGUUUACAUCAAAUGAAACUCCCAAUGGCAAAAAGAUAUAAAUGCAGAGAACAAAACCAUGAAAGCCCUUUGGGAAAGUGCUACAGAAAGAACCUUCACAAAAGAACUCUGCAAAGUUUGUUUUGUUCAACCCUUGAACACCAUGACCUGAAAGAGUGCUCGGGCCAGAGUCAGAGCUUAGUAAACUUCUGAUGGAAUGAAUUAGUGAGAAAAUUUUUUUUGGGGGGGGUGUACCGGCGCUUGAACUUGGGUCCUUGCGCUUACGCAGCAGGGCACAAAACCACUGAGCUAAAUCCCCAGCCCAUGAGAGGAUAUUUUUAAUCACUUCAGGUAGAGGAGCAGCCUUUCUAAGGAUGACAUAAAACCAAAAAGAGGCCAAAAUAUAAAAUUCAGCUACAAAAAAAUUACAAAUGACCAUAUGAGGGAGGCAAGCAUACUGGAGGGAAAUAUUUGUAACUCCUAUCACAAACUGCACCUUUCCAUAAUUGUGUGUGUGUGUGUGUGUGUGUGUGUGUGUGCUGAGGCUCAAACAGGGCCUCAAGCAUGCCUGGCAGGCACUGUACCAGAGAGCUACAUCACAGCUCCCCUCUCUUUAAUAUUUAAAGAAAUCCUAAAUAUUGAUAAGAAAGAAGCCAACAGCACAGUAUAGAAAUGGGCAAAUGAUAUAAAUAAACAGUUCCCAGAAGAAGAAACACAAAGGACUCCACAACAUAGAGAGAGAUACUCAACCUCUUUCCUAGUACAGGACAAGCAAAUAAAGACUUAGGAGAAACGACUUGUCACGUAUCAGAUCGGCAGAGGUCCGGAAGUGUGAGAACACACUGCUGUCAAUUGUGCAUUGCCUGAGAGGGGAGGAAACACACUGAGGGCGUGCAGGCUGGACGAUCUCUUCAGACAGUGACUGGACAGUACAGUGUACCUUGUGACUCACUUUACCCUGCAGAUAUUCUAGCACGUGUAUG
ensembl:lncRNA